rnacentral:rRNA from 1 species
UGACGGUACCCUACUAGAAAGGAGCCGCUAACUUCGUGCCAGAAGCGUCGGUAAUACGGGGGCUCCAAGCGUUAUCCGGUGUUAUUGGGCGUAAAGAGUCGUGUAGGUGGUUGGGUAAGUUAUCUUUCAAAUAUCUUUGCUUAACAAAGAGGAGGGGGAUAAUACUGCUCGACUAGAAUUUUCUCAAGGGAGAUCGGAACUGAGGGAGGAGUAGUGAAAUGCGUUGAUACCCUCGGGAACACCAGUGGCGUAGGCGGAUCUCUGGGAGAAGAUUGACACUGAGACACGAAAGCUAGGGGAGCGAAGCAGAUUAGAGACCUGCGUAGUCCUAGCCGUAAACGCAUGCUUGCUAGCUGCAUGAAUCUACCUUCGGGUGGUAUCGUGGGGCGAAGGUAACCCGUUAAGCAAGCCGCCUGGAAAGUACGGCCGCAAGGCUGAAAUUCAAAGGAAUUGGCGGGGAGGCACACAACCAGUGGAACAUGUGGUUUAAUUCGAGACUAACCGAAGAACCUCACCAGGGUUUGACAUGUAGCUGCACGUCUUAAGAAAUUAAGACUCUCUUGAAGGUGCUACACAGGUGCUGCAUGGCUGUCGUCAGCUCGUUCCGUGAGGAGUGCCCUUAAGUGGGACAACGAGCGCAACCCCUAUUACAUGUUAGAAAUGUCAUGUAAGACUGCCUUGCCAUUUGGCGGGGAGGAAGGAGGGGCAGACGUCAAGUCCGCAUGGUCCUUAUGCCCUGGGCUACACACAUGUUACAAUGAGUACGGCAAUGAGUCUGUCGCGAGCCCGUAAGUGUAAGCUAAUCUCUUAAAUGUACUCUCAGUGGGGAUUGAGGUCUGCAACUCGACCUCAUGAACACGGAAUUGGUAGUAAUCGCGGGUCAGCUAUACCGCGGUGAUACGUUCUUGCCUCUUGCACACACCGCCCGUCAAACCAGCAAAGUCGAUUGUAUCCGAACCU